rnacentral:rRNA from 1 species
GAUGAACGCUGGCGGCGUGCCUAAUACAUGCAAGUCGAGCGAACGGACGAGAAGCUUGCUUCUCUGAUGUUAGCGGCGGACGGGUGAGUAACACGUGGAUAACCUACCUAUAAGACUGGGAUAACUUCGGGAAACCGGAGCUAAUACCGGAUAAUAUUUUGAACCGCAUGGUUCAAAAGUGAAAGACGGUCUUGCUGUCACUAAUAGAUGGAUCCGCGCUGCAUUAGCUAGUUGGUAAGGUAACGGCUUACCAAGGCAACGAUGCAUAGCCGACCUGAGAGGGUGAUCGGCCACACUGGAACUGAGACACGGUCCAGACUCCUACGGGAGGCAGCAGUAGGGAAUCUUCCGCAAAGGGCGAAAGCCUGACGGAGCGACGCCGCGUGAGUGAUGAAGGUCUUCGGAUCGUAAAACUCUGUUAUUAGGGAAGAACAUAUGUGUAAGUAACUGUGCACAUCUUGACGGUACCUAGUCAGAAAGCCACGGCUAACUACGUG